UACGUAGGGGCCGAGCGUUGUCCGGAAUUACUGGGCGUGAAGCGCGCGCAGGCGGCCCCGCGCGCCCGGCGUGAAAGCCCCCGGCUCAACCGGGGGGCGUCGUCGGGGACGGCGGGGCUUGAGGGCGGGAGGGGCCGGUGGAAUCCCUGGUGUAGUGGUGAAAUGCGUAGAGAUCAGGGGGAACACCCGUGGCGAAGGCGGCCGGGUGGCCCGACACUGACGCUGAGGCGCGAAGGCGUGGGGAGCGAACGGG
rnacentral:rRNA from 1 species